AUUGAACGCUGGCGGCAGGCCUAACACAUGCAAGUCGAGCGAGCGGCGGACGGUUGAGUAAUGUCUGGGAAACUGCCUGAUGGAGGGGGAUAACUCCUGGAAACGGUAGCUAAUACCGCAUACCAUCAGAUGUGCCCAGAUGGGUUUAGCUAGUAGGUGGGGUAACGGCUCACCUAGGCGACGAUCCCUAGCUGGUCUGAGAGGAUGACCAGCCACACUGUAAGUGAGACACGGUCCAGACGCCGAUGGUAGGCAGCAGUGGGGAAUAUUGCACAAUGGACGCAAGCCUGAUGCAGCAAUGCCGAGUGUGUGAAGAAGGCCUUCGGGUUGUAAAGCACUUUCAGCGGGGAGGCGUUACCCGCAGAAGAAGCACCGGCUAACUCCGUGCCAGCCGCCGCGGUAAUAC
rnacentral:rRNA from 1 species